UACGAAGGGGGCUAGCGUUGCUCGGAAUCACUGGGCGUAGAGCGCACGUAGGCGGACUCUUAAGUCGGUGGUGAAAUCCUGGGGCUCAACUCCAGAACUGCCUUCGAUACUGAGAGUCUCGAGUCCGGGAGAGGUGAGUGGAACUGCGAGUGUAGAGGUGAAAUUCGUAGAUAUUCGCAAGAACACCAGUGGCGAAGGCGGCUCACUGGCCCGGUACUGACGCUGAGGUGCGAAAGCGUGGGGAGCAAACAGG
rnacentral:rRNA from 1 species